rnacentral:rRNA from 1 species
GAUGAACGCUGACAGAAGGCUUAACACAUGCAAGUCAACUGUGGCGGACGGGUGAGUAACGCGUAAAGAACUUGCUACACAGAUAGGGACAACAUGUGGAAACGGAUGCUAAUACCUGAUCCUGUGAGAGAGCUUUGCGUCCCAUUAGCUAGUUGGAGAGUUAACGGCUCACCAAGGCGAUGAUGGGUAGCCGGCCUGAGAGGGUGAUCGGGCACAAGGGGACUGGGACACGGGCCUUACGCCUACGGGAGGCAGCAGUGGGGAAUAUUGGACAAUGGACCAAAGUCUGAUGAAGCAAUUCUGUGUGCAAGAUGCAGUUUUCGGAAUGAAAAUUGUUUUCAGUUGGGAAGCAGUACCAACAGAAGAAGUGACGGCUAAAUCCGUGCCAGCAGCCGCGGUAAUUC